GACGUAGGAGGCGAGCGUUGUCCGGAUUUAUUGGGCGUAAAGGGCGUGUAGGCGGCUUGGCAAGUUGGGUGUAAAAUCCCCCGGCUUAACUGGGGGUGGCCACUCAAAACUGUUGAGCUAGAGGCCGGUAGGGGGAGACGGAAUUCCCGGUGUAGUGGUGAAAUGCGUAGAUAUCGGGAGGAACACCGAUGGCGAAAGCGGUCUCCUGGGCCGGUCCUGACGCUGAGACGCGAAAGCGCGGGUAGCGAACCGG
rnacentral:rRNA from 1 species